AUUGAACGCUGGCGGCAUGCUUUACACAUGCAAGUCGAACGGUAACAGGUCUUCGGAUGCUGACGAGUGGCGAACGGGUGAGUAAUACAUCGGAACGUGCCUAGUAGUGGGGGAUAACUACUCGAAAGAGUAGCUAAUACCGCAUGAGAUCUACGGAUGAAAGCAGGGGACCUUCGGGCCUUGUGCUACUAGAGCGGCUGAUGGCAGAUUAAGUAGUUGGUGGGGUAAAGGCUCACCAAGCCGACGAUCUGUAGCUGGUCUGAGAGGACGACCAGCCACACUGGGACUGAGACACGGCCCAGACUCCUACGGGAGGCAGCAGUGGGGAAUUUUGGACAAUGGGCGAAAGCCUGAUCCAGCCAUGCCGCGUGCAGGAUGAAGGCCUUCGGGUUGUAAACUGCUUUUGUACGGAACGAAAAGGUUUGGCCUAAUAAGCUGAGCUCAUGACGGUACCGUAAGAAUAAGCACCGGCUAACUACGUGCCAGCCGCCGCAGUAA
rnacentral:rRNA from 1 species